GGUGUGACUCAGUGGUAGAGCAUUUGCUGAGCAAGCAUAAGAAUCUGGGUUCCAUCCCCAGCACC
rnacentral:tRNA from 1 species